AGAGUUUGAUCAUGGCUCAGAUUGAACGCUGGCGGCAGGCCUAACACAUGCAAGUCGAACGGUAACAGGAAGAAGCUUGCUUCUUUGCUGACGAGUGGCGGACGGGUGAGUAAUGUCUGGGAAACUGCCUGAUGGAGGGGGAUAACUACUGGAAACGGUAGCUAAUACCGCAUAACGUCGCAAGACCAAAGAGGGGGACCUUCGGGCCUCUUGCCAUCGGAUGUGCCCAGAUGGGAUUAGCUAGUAGGUGAGGUAACGGCUCACCUAGGCGACGAUCCCUAGCUGGUCUGAGAGGAUGACCAGCCACACUGGAACUGAGACACGGUCCAGACUCCUACGGGAGGCAGCAGUGGGGAAUAUUGCACAAUGGGCGCAAGCCUGAUGCAGCCAUGCCGCGUGUAUGAAGAAGGCCUUCGGGUUGUAAAGUACUUUCAGCGGGGAGGAAGGGAGUAAAGUUAAUACCUUUGCUCAUUGACGUUACCCGCAGAAGAAGCACCGGCUAACUCCGUGCCAGCAGCCGCGGUAAUACGGAGGGUGCAAGCGUUAAUCGGAAUUACUGGGCGUAAAGCGCACGCAGGCGGUUUGUUAAGUCAGAUGUGAAAUCCCCGGGCUCAACCUGGGAACUGCAUCUGAUACUGGCAAGCUUGAGUCUCGUAGAGGGGGUAGAAUUCCAGGUGUAGCGGUGAAAUGCGUAGAGAUCUGGAGGAAUACCGGUGGCGAAGGCGGCCCCCUGGACGAAGACUGACGCUCAGGUGCGAAAGCGUGGGGAGCAAACAGGAUUAGAUACCCUGGUAGUCCACGCCGUAAACGAUGUCGACUUGGAGGUUGUGCCCUUGAGGCGUGGCUUCCGGAGCUAACGCGUUAAGUCGACCGCCUGGGGAGUACGGCCGCAAGGUUAAAACUCAAAUGAAUUGACGGGGCCCGCACAAGCGGUGGAGCAUGUGGUUUAAUUCGAUGCAACGCGAAGAACCUUACCUGGUCUUGACAUCCACGGAAGUUUUCAGAGAUGAGAAUGUGCCUUCGGGAACCGUGAGACAGGUGCUGCAUGGCUGUCGUCAGCUCGUGUUGUGAAAUGUUGGGUUAAGUCCCGCAACGAGCGCAACCCUUAUCCUUUGUUGCCAGCGGUCCGGCCGGGAACUCAAAGGAGACUGCCAGUGAUAAACUGGAGGAAGGUGGGGAUGACGUCAAGUCAUCAUGGCCCUUACGACCAGGGCUACACACGUGCUACAAUGGCGCAUACAAAGAGAAGCGACCUCGCGAGAGCAAGCGGACCUCAUAAAGUGCGUCGUAGUCCGGAUUGGAGUCUGCAACUCGACUCCAUGAAGUCGGAAUCGCUAGUAAUCGUGGAUCAGAAUGCCACGGUGAAUACGUUCCCGGGCCUUGUACACACCGCCCGUCACACCAUGGGAGUGGGUUGCAAAAGAAGUAGGUAGCUUAACCUUCGGGAGGGCGCUUACCACUUUGUGAUUCAUGACUGGGGUGAAGUCGUAACAAGGUAACCGUAGGGGAACCUGCGGUUG
rnacentral:rRNA from 1 species